rnacentral:tRNA from 1 species
GAGGGUAUAGCUUAGUGGUAGAGUGCGUGCCUAUCAUGCACAAGGUCCUGGGUUCAAUCCCCAGCACCUCCG